rnacentral:rRNA from 1 species
UACGAAGGGUGCAAACGUUGCUCGGAAUUAUUGGGCGUAAAGCGCACGUAGGCGGCUCUGUAAGUUGGAUGUGAAAUCCCUCGGCUCAACCAAGGAAGUGCAUCCAAAACUACAGAGCUUGAGUACUUAAGAGGAUCGCGGAAUUCCCGGUGUAGAGGUGAAAUUCGUAGAUAUCGGGAGGAACACCAGUGGCGAAGGCGGCGAUCUGGGAAGAUACUGACGCUGAGGUGCGAAAGCGUGGGGAGCAAACAGG